UCUUCAAAGGAAUUCUGUAGAAGCAGCCUUUAUUUUCAGACUCUGCAGGCCUGCUGGGAGGAAACAUAUUACAAUAAACAGAAGAAGCUCAUGGUCCACUAUCUGCUGCUCCAGUGUCAAGGCCAGGUCCCGCCCCAUGUCACCACGGAGCACAUGAGCAACUGGCUGGUGUCUCAGGGCAAAAAAUCCCUUAGGGAGAGGGUGUGGAAGGAAACCCUGGAGGAGGGAAACGACCUCGCUCGGCUGGCCUGGGAAGUAAACACUUGCCUAAAAAUUAUGGAC